UUGAAUGAGCCAACAUUCCCACGUACCGUCGAGGACCCUGCUCAGGGUCUAGAGCUGGUGCACUGUUCCACGGCCGGGAC